CAACAAGCCCAGCGUCUGCAGGGCCUGGCACCCCCGCCCCAGGACACAAGUCACACACACCCGCGGACAAAGACGCCCCCACUGCUGCAUCUAGAGCGCACGCACGCACGCACGCACACAGAUUUACACCCAGGAGCCAUGGAUGACCAGUCAAUCCCAAAUCCUGACACCCAAGGAACCUGACCCAGCACCGCUCACAAUCACGCGGACUUCCUUGUUCAACAACUACAGCCUGGCAGACGCAGGGAACUAUGCGGGAAUCAAGCACUGGGGAUUCCCACACUCGCCAAGCUGACACCCUCUCUCCAACCUGUUCUCUCUGGAUUUCCUGAGCAAUGGGAUACUGGACCUCCAUCACCCAGGCCAGGCUUAACCUCGUUCCCCACACCCUUUCUUUGCACCCUAGCCACCCCUCUCCCCUGCCUCAGGGCCUCAACCUAAGCCCGUUCCCUCCCCUAGCAAUGCCUUUUCUUUUCCUUUAAGACCAAUUUCUACACAAACGUCGCCUCCUCUAGGAAGCCCUCCCGGGUCCUCAGGUUAGGUCUUGUGUGUCUUUUCUGUGUUCUUUGGUUUUCCUUAUCCUAAUCACAGACAGUCUGCAAUAAUACAUUUGGACAACGACUAGAUUGACGCCCCCUUCUGCCUGGAGACUGCUGGCUCCCUGAGCCAGCCUGUGCAAGCUUCCGGGCAUCCAUCUGGCAUGGAGGUCCCUGCAUCCCUGUAUCCUGUUCUGCUUCCUCAGCUCCACUCUCCAAACAGUUCAGCCCUCCAGCUCCACACUCCACACCCUGUGCUAAGGAGAUUUUUUUUAAAGAUUUACUUAUUUUUAAUUUAUGUGUAUGAGUGUUCUGCCUGCAUGUGUGCCUUCCUGGUACCCACAGAGACCAGGAGAGGGUGGUGGAUCCUGGCACCCAAACCAGAGACCUCUGUAAAAGCAAGUGCUCUUAAAUGCUGAGCCAUCUCUCCAACCCAGGAGCUGAUGUUUUUUAGCACCCGCCCUCAAGGUCUCAUGUAGUCCAGGGUGGCAUUAAACUGGUCAGUGGAGACUGACCUUGAACUUCUAGUCCUUCCCUAAGCACCUCCCCACUCUGGGAUUACGGGCAUGCACUACCAUGCCUGGUUUGUAUCCUGCCCAGGGUUGAAGCCAGGGUCUUGUGCAUGCCACACAAGUACUCCGCCAGCUUAGUUCCUCCCUAGCACCUCUAAUUUUUGCUACCAGUACUGAAGAUUGAAGUUGAAACCUCAUUAAUGCCAAGCAAGGGGCACGUGGGCUUUCUUCCUUUCUUCCUGGGGAUGUUGCUUGUUUGAACCUGGGUCUUCCCAUGUAGCUCAGGCUACCCUCGAACUCAUGAUCCUGCUGGGGAUGUAGCUGAGUACAAGAGGGCUUGCCUAGCCUGUGUGAGGUCAUGGGUCCAAUCCCCAGAAUCGCCCCCCCUUUUUUUUAAGUGCUGGGCUGGAGAGAUGACUCAGAGGUUAAGAGCACUGAUUGUUCUUCCAGAGGUCCUGAGUUCAAUUCCCAGUCACCACAUGGUGGCUCACAACCAUCUGUAAUGAGAUCUGAUGCUGUCUUCUGUGCAGGCAUACAUGCAGACAGAACACUAUAUGCAUAAUAAAUAAUAAAUCUAUUUUUUAAAUGUGCUUAUAACUAUUGCCUGUGCAAGAUGGCAUACAUCUACAAUCUCAGCACUUGGGAGGUAGAGGCAGGAGGCUCAGCAGUUCAAGGUCAUCCUCAACUAUCUAGUGAGUUCAAGGCCAGCCUAGCCAUAAGAAGCCCUG